GAUGAACGCUGGCGGAGUGCCUAACACAUGCAAGUCGAGCGGCAGCGCGAGUAGUUUACUACUUGGCGGCGAGCGGCGGACGGCUGAGUAACGCGUGGAACAUGCCCCAAAGUGAGGAAUAACUGCCCGAAAGGGUAGCUAAUGCCGCAUACGAUCUUCGGAUUAAAGGAUUUAUCCGGCUUUGGGAGUGGCCUGCGUACGAUUAGAUAGUUGGUGAGGUAAUGGCUCACCAAGUCUACGAUCGUUAACUGGUUUGAGAGGAUGAUCAGUCAGACUGGAACUGAGACACGGUCCAGACUCCUACGGGAGGCAGCAGUUGAGGAAUCUUCCACAAUGGACGAAAGUCUGAUGGAGCAACUCCGCGUGCAGGAUGAAGGCCUUCGGGUCGUAAACUGCUUUAUGAGUGAAGAAUAUGACGGUAACUCAUGAAUAAGGGUCGGCUAACUACGUGCCAGCAGCCGCGGUAAU
rnacentral:rRNA from 1 species